rnacentral:rRNA from 1 species
AGUGAACGCUGGCGGCAGGCCUAACACAUGCAAGUCGAGCGGCAGCGCGGGGGCAACCCUGGCGGCGAGCGGCGGACGGGUGAGGAAUUCGUCGGAAUCUGCCUUUUUGUGGGGGAUAACGUAGGGAAACUUACGCUAAUACCGCAUACGUCCUACGGGAGAAAGUGGGGGACCGCAAGGCCUCACGCAGAAAGAUGAGCCGACGACCGAUUAGCUAGUUGGUGGGGUAAAGGCCCACCAAGGCGACGAUCGGUAGCUGGUCUGAGAGGAUGAUCAGCCACACUGGGACUGAGACACGGCCCAGACUCCUACGGGAGGCAGCAGUGGGGAAUAUUGGACAAUGGGCGCAAGCCUGAUCCAGCCAUGCCGCGUGUGUGAAGAAGGCCUUCGGGUUGUAAAGCACUUUUGUCCGGAAAAAAAUCCCUGGAGCUAAUACCUUCGGGGGAUGACGGUACCGGAAGAAUAAGCACCGGCUAACUUCGUG